UGUUGGGCGAACUGUUCGUGAACCCGGUCAGGUCCGGAAGGAAGCAGCCGUAACGAGUUCGCCACGGGUCGCGAGUCCAGUCUUC
rnacentral:SRP_RNA from 1 species